UGGGGGAUAUUGCACAAUGGGCGAAAGCCUGAUGCAGCGACGCCGCGUGGGGGAUGAAGGCCUUCGGGUUGUAAACUUCUUUUGCUCUGAACAAGGCAUGCUAAUGGGUGUGUUGAGUGUAGGGGUUGAUUAGCGCCGGCUAACUACGUGCCAGCAGCCGCGGUAAUACGUAGGGCGCGAGCGUUGUCCGGAAUUAUUGGGCGUAAAGGGCUUGUAGGUGGCUGGUUGCGUCUGUCGUGAAAGCUCAUGGCUUAACUGUGGGGUUGCGGUGGGUACGGGCUGGCUUGAGUGCAGUAGGGGAGGCUGGAAUGCCUGGUGUAGCGGUGGAAUGCGCAGAUAUCAGGAGGAAUACCGGUGGCGAAGGCGGGUCUCUGGGCUGUUACUGACACUGAGGAGCGAAAGCAUGGGGAGCGAACAGG
rnacentral:rRNA from 1 species